rnacentral:rRNA from 1 species
AUCCACGGCCAUAGGACUCUGAAAGCACCGAUCUGCGCAGUUAACCAGAGCGCCGCCCAGUUAGUACCACGGUGGGGGACCACGCGGGAAUACUGGGUGCUGUGGUUU